rnacentral:lncRNA from 1 species
AGAACCCUUGCAGAUUCUAAACUUGGGGUUGAUCUCUUUAGGGGAUCGGCCUUCUUGGAACUCUAUAGGGGUUCCUCCCUCCAAGUUGCUGCUCAAAGGCUGUAGAAAAGAUUCAUCUAUUGCUUAUCAAAAGAUGAUGAAUAUAUGACUAUUUAUAGGGUUUCUAAACCCUAAUGCCUAAUAGGACUUCUACUCAAUUAAGACUCCUACUCAAGACUCCUAAUACGACUCCUACUCAAGACUCCUAUUCCUUUAUAACUCCUAAUUCUUCUUUAAGAAAUAACCUCCAAACCCUAGCCGGCCUCUUCACCUCUUUA